UACGGAGGGUGCAAGCGUUAUCCGGAUUCACUGGGUUUAAAGGGUGCGUAGGCGGCUAUGUAAGUCAGGAGUGAAAGUUUGCGGCUCAACCGUAAAAUUGCUUUUGAUACUGCAUGGCUAGAAUUAGGAUGAGGUCAGCGGAAUGUGGCAUGUAGCGGUGAAAUGCAUAGAUAUGCCAUAGAACACCAAUUGCGAAGGCAGCUGGCUAGACCUGGAUUGACGCUGAGGCACGAAAGCGUGGGGAGCGAACAGG
rnacentral:rRNA from 1 species